rnacentral:rRNA from 1 species
GAUGAACGCUGGCGGCGUGCCUAAUACAUGCAAGUCGAGCGAACGGACGAGAAGCUUGCUUUUCUGAUGUUAGCGGCGGACGGGAGAGUAACACGUGGAUAACCUACCUAUAAGACUGGGAUCACUUCGGGAAACCGGAGCUAAUACCGGCUAAUAUUUUGAACCGCAUGGUUCAAAAGUGAAAGACGGUCUUGCUGUCACUUAUAGAUGGAUCCGCGCUGCAUUAGCUAGUUGGUAAGGUAACGGCUUACCAAGGCAACGAUGCAUAGCCGACCUGAGAGGGUGAUCGGCCACACUGGAACUGAGACACGGUCCAGACUCCUACGGGAGGCAGCAGUAGGGAAUCUUCCGCAAUGGGCGAAAGCCUGACGGAGCAACGCCGCGUGAGUGAUGAAGGUCUUCGGAUCGUAAAACUCUUUUAUUAGGGAAGAACAGAUUUGUAAGUAACUGGGCACAUCUUGACGGUACCGAAUCAGAAAGCCACGGCUAACUACGUG